rnacentral:rRNA from 1 species
UAGGGAAUCUUCCACAAUGGGCGGAAGCCUGAUGGAGCAACGCCGCGUGUGUGAUGAAGGGUUUCGGCUCGUAAACACUGUUGUAAGAGAAGAAUGACAUUGAGAGUAACUGUUCAAUGUGUGACGGUAUCUUACCAGAAAGGAACGGCUAAAUACGUGCCAG